CCCUACUCUACUUCCUCUCCACAAAAUGUUGCAGAGAACAAAACUCCACCAAGAGCUCAAGGCUUUCUUAGAUGGUGAAGAAGGAGACCAAGUUUGAGAUUAUAGAGGAGGAAUUCUUGAUUGUUGAGGCUAGAAGUUUGAGGACUCAUGUGGCUCGUGAGGUUCGGGAAUUUGAUGUGGCUCGUGAGGCUCGGGAAAGUGAUAUGUGAAUACAAAAACCAUUUUCAACCAAACUUUGUAGGAAAGUGAUUAAGGUAACAAUAGUUUGUCCAGGACCUGUAAAACCAUCAAGUAGUCCUGAAGCAAGUACCUCAGGAGCGGGGGGUGCCUCUGAGAUAUAGUUUAGUGAAUUUCUUGCAAGACACAUUAGGGAGGAAGAAGGGAUUAUAUUGGAAGCUGAGACAUGAGAUUAUCUUGGAAAACACAGAGGUUUUUGGUUCUACACUAUUGGCCAACGACAAGGUUUACGACUUUCCGGAGGACCCUGGAGUUCAUAUUGUUUGGAAUCUAGACCUCAAGACUUGAGGUUGCAUCUAGUACAAUGGCAAAACAUGGAAAAAUUUCAGUUGAUGCUAAGGCUCGUACUAAAACAACACAUAUGAGAAGAAGAAAGAAGAAAUCUAAGGGAAGAAAAUCUGAAGCUCAAGAUUUGGAACAUCAAGAUUUUGAGGUAAGUUUGUUUUGACAUUUUUGUGGUAUCAUGACAAUUUUGUAGUUGGUUGAUGAAACUUUGUGGAGGAAUAGGUCCAUCAUUACACACUGCAGGUUCUACCCCUAUCACCGAACAUAGAAGAAGACUAAAAGAAAAAUUUGGAAAGGAACCUACUUAUACAGAACUAUUCAAUGCUACGUACACAUUUAAACGAGGAGGAGGAUAUGUAUGCCGAAGAGCGCAACAAGUAAUUGAAACUGUGACUGACUUGAAGCAAAAACAA